GAAGAAGCAAAGUUGAAAGCUUUUGAAACAUGUCUUCAAUCUGGAUUUCUCCUCCAAAAGUCUGGCUGAAUUAAAUGUUUAGUAAUCUCUGCCCAGUACAUUGAGAAGAAAUGUCUGACUAUGCUUUCCAAAGGUGCUGAGAGAGACAAUUUCCAAGAAAACAUCACUCCUUUUUUCUUCCAAGAAAACAAGGUACUUGGGAUUCCUGGUUUCCUCUUCUGACUUAGACAUUGAUUCACAGUCUGGCCUUAGGUGCUGUCAGUCAUUAUUUAUGAAUGUAUGGAAGUGUGCCACUGAGUUACACAACCUCUUAGCCUAAUCAGUCCAGAAUUUUCCAUUAUCUGUUCUUCACUGGAAAACUUGGGAAUUAAAAUAAGUUAUGUCUGAUU
rnacentral:lncRNA from 1 species